GAUGAACGCUGGCGGCGUGCCUAAUACAUGCAAGUCGAGCGAACAGACGAGGAGCUUGCUCCUCUGACGUUAGCGGCGGACGGGUGAGUAACACGUGGAUAACCUACCUAUAAGACUGGGAUAGCUUCGGGAAACCGGAGCUAAUACCGGAUAAUAUAUUGAACCGCAUGGUUCAAUAGUGAAAGACGGUUUUGCUGUCACUUAUAGAUGGAUCCGCGCCGCAUUAGCUAGUUGGUAAGGUAACGGCUUACCAAGGCAACGAUGCGUAGCCGACCUGAGAGGGUGAUCGGCCACACUGGAACUGAGACACGGUCCAGACUCCUACGGGAGGCAGCAGUAGGGAAUCUUCCGCAAUGGGCGAAAGCCUGACGGAGCAACGCCGCGUGAGUGAUGAAGGUCUUCGGAUCGUAAAACUCUGUUAUUAGGGAAGAACAAAUGUGUAAGUAACUAUGCACGUCUUGACGGUACCUAAUCAGAAAGCCACGGCUAACUACGU
rnacentral:rRNA from 1 species